GAGAAGAUGGCUGAGAGGUUGAAAGCGAUAAUUUGCUAAAGAUGGCUGAGAGGUUGAAAGCGAUAAUUUGCUAAAUUAUUAUAUUAUAUUAAAAUAAAGUAUAAUAUCAUGGGUUCAAAUCCUAUUCUUCUCC
rnacentral:tRNA from 1 species